GGCUUCGUAGCUCAGCUGGUAGAGCAUGCGCGCUCAAAGCAUAGGUGGCGUCCAUGCGUGGGUUCGGAUCCCGCCGAGACUC
rnacentral:tRNA from 1 species